UUGAGGAGGGUGACGGGCGGUGUGUGCGCAUUCUAGAGCUGAUUUCAUAAUGUUUCUCUUUACUUUUAUUACUAUCGAAUCCUCUUUCAUUAACUUUUUCAAUGCUAAAUUCUCGGUUUGGAAAAAAAGUAGCUCAUCUAUUCCCACUCUAUAAGCUGCACCUUGAUCUGACGUUGAGGAAAAUUCCUUUUUGCUCACUUUCUUAAAGAGGUGAACUGACGACGAUGGUAUACAAGCUGAAUUUAUCUUUGAGUGGUGAGGUUCCUCGUGGGUUAUCGAUUCAAUGACAAGCUCCUCCGAAAAGGGGUAGAAAACCGCCAAGUUCUUUAAGUUUUAGCCUUUAGCCGUACUACUCUGGUGUUUGAGGAUUUACUAGUAAGUAUAGUGGGGUAUCUAAUCCCAGA
rnacentral:rRNA from 1 species